rnacentral:rRNA from 1 species
GAGGAAGGCUCUUGGGUUGUAAACCUCUUUUCUCAGGGAAGAAGCUCUGACGGUACCUGAGGAAUCAGCCUCGGCUAACUCCGUGCCAGCAGCCGCGGUAAUACGGAGGAGGCAAGCGUUAUCCGGAAUUAUUGGGCGUAAAGCGUCCGCAGGUGGCGAUUCAAGUCUGCUGUCAAAGCACGGGGCUUAACUCCGUAAAGGCAGUGGAAACUGAAUAGCUAGAGUGCCGUAGGGGUAGAGGGAAUUCCCGGUGUAGCGGUGAAAUGCGUAGAGAUCGGGAAGAACAUCGGUGGCGAAAGCGCUCUACUGGACGGCAACUGA